GACGAACGCUGGCGGCGUGCUUAACACAUGCAAGUCGAACGGAAAGGCCAUGCUUUUGUGGCGUGCUCGUGUGGCGAACGGGUGAGUAACACGUGAGUAACCUGCCCUUGACUUUGGGAUAUCAUCAGGAAACUGCGGCUAAUACAGCAUAGGAGCUCCUGCUGCAUGGUGGGCGAUGGAAAGUUUCGGCUGUUGGGGAUGGACUCGCGGCUUAUCAGCUUGUUGGUGGGGUAGUGGCUUACCAAGGCUUUGAAGGGUAGCCGGCCUGAGCGGGUGAACGGCCACAUGGGGACUGAGAGACGGCGCAGACGCCUACGGGAGGCAGCAGUGGAGAAUAUGGCACAAUGGGCGGAAGCCUGAUGCAGCAACGCCGCGUGCGUGAUGACGUCCUUCGGGUUGUAAACCGCUUUCGCCUGUGACGAAGCGUGAGUGACGGUAAUGGGUAAAGAAGCACCGGCUAACUACGUG
rnacentral:rRNA from 1 species